CGCCUGUUUAUCAAAAACAUGGCUCUCUGUAUAUUGAAGAUAGAGAGUCGGACCUGCCCGGUGAAUUUUUUAACGGCCGCGGUACUCUGACCGUGCAAAGGUAGCAGAAACAUUUGCCUUAUAAUUGAAGGCUAGAAUGAAUGGUUUGACAAGAAUACAACUGUCUCUUUACAAUUACAUAAAAUUUUAUCUGCAGUUGAAGAAGCCUGCAUUUGAAUAAAAGACAAGAAGACCCUAUCGAGCUUAAAAAAAACUGGUGGAAUAACAAACUUAAUCCUAACUUAUAAAUAAAUAAAUAGUCAACUACUGGAAAUUUUGGUUGGGGCGACCGGGGAACAAAAAAAACUUCCUUUAUAAAAAUUUAGAUGCCCAAAUAUUGAUCCAGCAUUAUAUGAUUAAAGAAAUUAGUUACCGUAGGGAUAACAGCAUUAUCUUUUUUAAGAGUUCUUAUCGAAAAAAAGGUUUGUGACCUCGAUGUUGGACCAGAAUAUCCUAAAGAUGCAGCCGUCUUUAAGGGUUGG
rnacentral:rRNA from 1 species